CACGUAGGGCGCGAGCGUUGUCCGGAAUUAUUGGGCGUAAAGAGCUCGUAGGCGGCCUGUUGCGUCCGCUGUGAAAGCCCGGGGCUUAACCCCGGGUCGGCAGUGGAUACGGGCAGGCUAGAGGUAGGUAGGGGAGAAUGGAAUUCCCGGUGUAGCGGUGAAAUGCGCAGAUAUCGGGAGGAACACCGGUGGCGAAGGCGGUUCUCUGGGCCUUACCGGACGCUGAGGAGCGAAAGCGUGGGGAGCGAACAGG
rnacentral:rRNA from 1 species